CCUUGUCCCAGCCGCCGCGGUAAUACGGAGGGUGCAAGCGUUAUCCGGAUUUAUUGGGUUUAAAGGGUGCGUAGGCGGUUAUAUAAGUCAGCGGUGAAAUUUUUCGGCUCAACCGGAAACAUGCCGUUGAUACUGUAUAGCUUGAAUAUGGUUGCUGUGAGUGGAAUGUGUAGUGUAGCGGUGAAAUGCUUAGAUAUUACACAGAAUAUCGAUUGCGAAGGCAACUCACAAAGCCAUUAUUGACGCUGAGGCACGAAAGUGUGGGGAUCAAACAGGAUUAGAUACCCUGGUAGUCCACACUGUAAACGAUGAUAACUAGCUGUCGGCGAUAGACCGUCGGUGGCCAAGCGAAAGCGAUAAGUUAUCCACCUGGGGAGUACGACCGCAAGGUUGAAACUCAAAGGAAUUGACGGGGGCCCGCACAAGCGGAGGAACAUGUGGUUUAAUUCGAUGAUACGCGAGGAACCUUACCCGGGCUCGAACGGUGCAGUAAUAUGGUAGAGAUAUCAUAGCUAGCAAUAGACUGUAUCGAGGUGCUGCAUGGUUGUCGUCAGCUCGUGCCGUGAGGUGUCGGCUUAAGUGCCAUAACGAGCGCAACCCUUGUCGUUAGUUACCAUCAAUUAAAGUUGGGGACUCUAGCGAGACUGCC
rnacentral:rRNA from 1 species